rnacentral:lncRNA from 1 species
AACAACUACACUCCUACUACACAACUACAGCUCCUACUACAAACAACUACAGCUCCUACUAAAACACUACUGCUCCUACGACAACAACAACAGCUCCAAAAACAAACACUACAGCUCUACUACAACAACUACAAGCCCUACGACAACUACUACGCUCCUACGACAACUACACUGCUCCUACUAAAACAACUACAACUCCUACUACAACAACUACAGCUGCUACUACAACAACACAGCGCCUAAACAACAACUACAGCUCCUACUACUACAACAACUACAGCGCCUACUACAACACUAACAAUCAGAACAACAACUACGCUCACUACAACAACACAGCUCCUACGACAACUACUACUGCUCUAUAAAACAACCUACUACUGCUCUACACAACAACUACAACUCCUAAUAAAACAACUGCAGCUCCUAAUAAAACAACUACAGCUCCUAAUAAAACAACUACUUCUCCUAAUAAGACAACUACAGCUCCUAAUAAAACAACUACAGCUCCUACUACAACAACUCCUCCUCCUAAAACAACAACUACAGCUCCUAAUAAAACAACUACAGCUCCUAAUAAAACAACUACAGCUCCUAAUAAAACAACUACAGCGCCUAAUAAAACAACUACAGCUCUUAAUACAACAACUACUGCUCCUAAUACAACAACAACUACAGCUCCUAAAACAACAACUACAGCUGCUAAUACAACAACUACAGCUCCUAAAAUAACUACUGCUCCUAAUACAACAACAACUACAGUUCCUAAAACAACAACUACAGCUCCUAAUACAACAACAACUACAGCUCCUAAAAUAACAACUUCAGUUCCAAAAACAAAAACUUCUGUUACAACAAUUACUGCUACUACUACAACAACUACUGCUCCUACAUAAACAACUACAUCAACCUAAUACAACAACAACUACAGCUCCUAAUACAACAACAACUACACCUCCUAAUACAACAACAACUACACCUCCUAAUACAACAACAACUACAGCCCUGAAUACAACAACUACAGCUCCUAAUACAACAACUACUGCUCUGAAUACAACAACAACUACAGCUUCUAAAACAACUACUGCAGCUCCCAAUAUAACAACAACUACAGCUCCUAAUACAACAGCUACAGCUCCUACUACAACAACUACUACAGCUACUACUACAACAACAACUACAGCUCAUACUACAACAACUACUGUUCCUACUACAACAACUGCAGCUCCCAAUACAACAACAACUCCAGGUCCUAAUACGACAACAACUACAGGUCCUAAUAGAAAAACUACAGCUCCUAAUACAACAACAACUACUGCUCCUACUACAACAACGACAGCUCCUACUUCAACAACGACAGCUCCUAAUACAACUACACCUCCUAAUACAACAACUACAGUUCCUACUUCAACAACUACAGCUCAUAAUGCAACAACUACAUCUCCUAAUACAACAACAACUGCAGCUCAUAAUACAACAACAACUUCAGCUCAUAAUACAACAACAACUACAGCUCCUAAUAUGACAGAUCCCUCUCCUUCUUUGUGCAGCCUGCUUCCUCUUUUAUCCCCAAGCACUCAAUGGCUUAAUGAUCCACAGGCAUGCUUCGUUGGGGCAGGAAGUACAUAUAAGCCCUGUUGAUGACGCUGGUCUGUUGGAACCUCUUCAACCUUCUGCCUUAAAUCUGCCGAACUUCCAAAGGAGAACUUUGUAUCUAAGUUUAACAUUUUAUUGAUUUGGCCAUUUUUGUUCAAUAUAUAUAUAUCCUGUAGUCAGGCAUAUUUAUGCAAAUGUGUGUAUCUUUUCUCCUGUCAAUUAUGUUUUGUUUAAUGUUUAUUUGUUUCAUUUAUUUUUUAUUUUUUGAAAUGUACAUAGCAUACAGUGUAAAACUAUUCAAAUAUACCAACACAAUAUCUUUAUAUUCUUAUCAAUGCUAAUGUAAAUUAAUGUUUUUGUGUCCUGAUAAGAUGAGUCAUUUGGACGUUUUACAGAUGUUAUGUAUCUGAUACUGAAGGCCUUUUGCUCCACUAGGGGGUGAAAGGAACAAGUACUUCAAAUAUUUGAUAUGGAAGAGCCUCUAGAGCAAGAGAAGUUAAGAAAUAUAUACUCUUAUGCAAGAACACUGUCCAUAUAUAUUUUGAACAUAAUUUCUUCUCCCGUACCAUAUAAUUUUGUAUUUCUUUGGCUGUGUUUACACAGGCAGCCCAAUUCUGAUCUUAUUUUAUUAAUUGGUCUUUUGACCAAUCAGAUCAGCUUUAAAAAAUAGCUGAUGUGAAAACAUCUGAUGUGAUAGGUCGAAAGACCAUUUAGUGGAAAAAAAUUCACAAUUGGGCUUCCUGUGGAAACGCGUACUUUGUGAUGGUAACACAUUUACAGGUAGACCAGAGAAGCCACAUCCCUGAUUGGCAGAUGAAUCGCAACGCUGAUUAGAAGCACCUGCUACUCACCGCUAACUCACCUGUCUUCCCUAUAAUAAAUACUGUUUCUUAUUGAAAAAGUUGUGAACCUACACACUGUAGAAGGCUGUUAAGCCAAAUCAUAUGUGGAUGCUAUCCUGAUGUAGUAAAAAUAAUAACAAUAAAUAAAAAAUUAACUAAGCUUUAUGCAAUAUCUUUUUGAGUGCGGACCCAUCACACUUUCUAAAUAAUGCAAAAGGAAGAGGCCUGGUCAAGAAGAUUGACACCAUCACACCCCUCAAGGGGAUCCCCAAAGCCCCGUUCCGUAGCCCCACCACCCCCAGUAUGUUCAGCCCGCCGAGCAACCGCACACCCAUAGCCCCCGCACGGACGCCCCUGCGCAAGGAGAGGGGAGUCAAGUUGUUAGUCAUCGAAGUAAGUGAAGAGGUGUAAAAAGGAGCUUUUCUGUAAUAAUUUUAUGAAUAGAGAUAUAAGUAACAUUGAAAAUAUGCUUCGUGAUUUUGUAGAAUAGCAUAGCCAGGGGUGGGGAUGAAAAGGACACACGAUUGUAG